rnacentral:rRNA from 1 species
UGGGGAAUUUUGGGAUCGAAUGGGCGAAAGGCCUGAAUCCAGCAAUGCCGCGUGUGUGAAGAAGGCCUUCGGGUUGUAAAGCACUUUUGUCCGGAAAGAAAUCCUUGGCUCUAAUACAGUCGGGGGAUGACGGUACCGGAAGAAUAAGCACCGGCUAACUACGUGCCAGCAGCCGCGGUAAUACGUAGGGUGCAAGCGUUAAUCGGAAUUACUGGGCGUAAAGCGUGCGCAGGCGGUUUGCUAAGACCGAUGUGAAAUCCCCGGGCUCAACCUGGGAACUGCAUUGGUGACUGGCAGGCUAGAGUAUGGCAGAGGGGGGUAGAAUUCCACGUGUAGCAGUGAAAUGCGUAGAGAUGUGGAGGAAUACCGAUGGCGAAGGCAGCCCCCUGGGCCAAUACUGACGCUCAUGCACGAAAGCGUGGGGAGCAAACAGGAUUAGAUACCCUGGUAGUCCACGCCCUAAANGAUGUCAACUAGUUGUUGGGGAUUCAUUUCCUUAGUAACGUAGCUAACGCGUGAAGUUGACCGCCUGGGGAGUACGGUCGCAAGAUUAAAACUCAAAGGAAUUGACGGGGUCAUAGCUGUUUCCU